rnacentral:rRNA from 1 species
UACGUAGGGUGCAAGCGUUGUCCGGAAUCAUUGGGCGUAAAGCGCGCGUAGGUGGCCAUUUAAGUCCGCUGUGAAAGUCAAAGGCUCAACCUUUGAAAGCCGGUGGAUACUGGAUGGCUAGAGUACGGAAGAGGCGAGUGGAAUUCCUGGUGUAGCGGUGGAAUGCGUAGAUAUCAGGAGGAACACCGAUGGCGAAGGCAGGUCUCUGGGCUGACACUGACGCUCAUGCACGAAAGCGUGGGGGAGCAAACAGG